AACACGUGGAGAACCUGCCCCCUCCCCCGGGAUAGCCGCCCGAAAGGACGGGUAAUACCGGAUACCCCCGGGCGCCGCAUGGCGCCCGGGCUAAAGCCCCGACGGGAGGGGAUGGCUCCGCGGCCCAUCAGGUAGACGGCGGGGUGACGGCCCACCGUGCCGACAACGGGUAGCCGGGUUGAGAGACCGACCGGCCAGAUUGGGACUGAGACACGGCCCAGACUCCUACGGGAGGCAGCAGUGGGGAAUCUUGCGCAAUGGGGGGAACCCUGACGCAGCGACGCCGCGUGCGGGACGGAGGCCUUCGGGUCGUAAACCGCUUUCAGCAGGGAAGA
rnacentral:rRNA from 1 species